GGCCGGUGCAGCUCGGCGGUUGCACGAAUGAAUGGGGUUUUGUUGAGUGACCUCACACAUGAAGGAAAUAAGAACUGCUUGUGCCCCUUUUGUAUUCAGUUGACCUGGGCUGGGCCUCAGAAGAAGCUGGAAGGGAAAAGGCCGUGGGAGGAGGCCGGAAGGCACCACCUCGCCCCUUCCCGUCCUGUUCCCCAUGCUGACUCCGCAGCCCUGCCAGGGCUGACUGCCGCAAGAGAUACAAAGAGCCCCUGCACUCAGCACCCCCAGGCCUGCCUGGCUGUCCCUGUGUUGCUGGCCUCCAGCCAGCGGGCGCCACCCAGCUGCAGCUCCCGGCUCCCUGCGGGGGGGACAGGGGAUCGCAGCCCCCGGGCCCAGCCAGUCUCUUCUCCACCACUCAACCCGGGGCAUCCAGAACGCCUUCCCUGCCUAUCCAACAGAUUCUGGAGGUGCUGGAGAGCCCACAGGAGACACAAUGUGCCUGGAAGAUGUCGAGGGAGAGACUUUCGAAACAACCUCGAAAUGCCCCCAGGCAAACUCUCCAGCUAUGGGAAAGAACAUUCGAGACCAUCCCUUACUUUUGCACUUUACCAUCUUCUGUCCUGAAGACAAUCCUGCCAGAAAGGAAUUUCAAUCUACAAAGCACUCAAUGCAGCAUAUAAUUCUCAUUAGUUACUUAAUGAGUCUGUGUUGACUGAGGAGGUGUGUGCCACCAGCAGGACCAAAAUAAACCAAGCAGCUGGGGCAGAAGUAGACCCAGAGAGUGCCCACACCUGAGUGACCCAGGCACUGACCUCUGUUCUCUGCAAAGGGGAGGAAGGUGAAAGCUAGUCUGGAAGGAAUCAGGCUAAAGUGGUCCCCAUUUGGUAAGUGGCCCAUCUGCCCCCAUUGACAACUGGGAAUGGUCCCCUGGUGGCUGCCAUCACAGCUGGUCUGUGGAGUCGGCUGGGACAGGUGCAGGUGAGCUUUCCCCACCUUCCCCACGUCAGCCCAGUGUCUCUUCCUUCCGAGCAGCUGCAGGAGAGGGAAAAGUCUAGCCUGUCCUGUGUUUACGGAUGGGCCAGGCUGGCAUGUGUGUGCAAGUAGAAAAUGGACAAUGACCGCAUUGCAGCCCCGUUCCUGGGUGACCUUAGAGGACAGUGGGAAUGGAAAAUCCCUCAGAGGAAAGCACUUUGGGAAGUGCCCCAGAUACAAAGAGCAUUGGAGGUGAUGGCCAGUGGAAAAUGGCCAGCUGAUCAGAGCUCUGGAGGGAGAAAGACUGGGGCUGUGGGGCCGAGGAAGCGGUGGGAGGGACUCGGGGGACUGGGCACAGAGUGUGACUCUCUUUGCAUCACGCGUCAACGCCCACAACCUCGCCGCUCCAACCCUCCCACCUGCUGAAGCCUCUGCUGAAGUGAUGGCUCAGGGGUGACACCAGGCAAAGCCGAGGACCCAGCAUGCACUGCGUGUGCUGCUGCCUCCCGGUGGGAAGAUUGACAGGCCUCCCCAAUGACUCCUGUCAUUAACUCCUCCUGGAAGCAUCGGGCUGGCUCUCUCCACACCUCAGGCUGACUUGACUUCCCAGGGGCCUCAUCACUCUACCUGUCCAAAUUUGGUGGUAAAACUUCCAUCCUGUUCAUUUUGAGCACUCCCCUGUCACAUCCCUUUCAGGGCAGGGUAGGGUCCCACGAUCUGGGGGUACAGGGCUGGGGUGGGGACACCUCUGUUCCUUUCUCUGUGCUCACCUGGUCGGGGAGAAGAGACAAGCUGUAGUCUGGGGGUCCCCAAGGCCACCUUCAGCUUUGAUGAGUCCUAGAACCCAGAACCAGCCGUGUACUUGCAGUUACAACUCAGAGCCACAUUUGGAGCUGAAAGCCAGCAAAGGGAAACAGCACAGCCAGGAGUCUGCGAGAGAGAGGCCAUGAGUUUCCAUGGGCCUCUCCCAACAGUCUUGGAACAGCAGCCACUCCUCGCAGAGCAUUGCUAGCCAGAGAACCCAUGCAAGCCUCCAUGCCCAGGGCUCUCACUGGGGUCAGUCACGUGGCUCACUUUAGUCUGCAGCCCUUAGAAGUCAAGGUGACCCCAGAUGGCCCAAGGCAUCACCAAUCACAUUAACACCAUGGACCUGCCAUGGGCCAAGGGCUCCAGGUACACAGAGACACUGUUAUCAUGCAGAACAUGCCAGGGACUUCCUUCCUGGGGACUUAGCAAGGCUCAAACCUGUCCUUGGGCGAGGCUAAUCCUUUUCUGGCUUUGCAUGGCUGCUCAUGGCAGCUGCUGGCCACCCUUGCCAGCUUAGCUCAUUGUAGGUUAGGAUAGCCCUAUGGAUCUGCAGAAUCUAGGGACUUAAUUCUCUUCUGUUUCCUAAAGCCAUUGUUACCCCACCUCCAUUCUGAAAUUUCUGGGGUCAAGAAUGGUGAUCUCCAUCAGUAUUCCAUAUCAUCCUGUUACCAUAGCAACAUAGAAUGUAACACUGAAUUCAAGACAUAAUUGUCUAAAAACAAAAACAAAAAUCCCUUGGCCAUUGUUCCAUAAUGCAGCCUUCAGCUUCCGGCUGGAUUCCUCUUCUACCUCCCUUUUGGGAACAAAACCAAUUCAUCCAGUUUCUGCUGUCUCUGUCCCCACCCCUGAAGUCCAGCCCCAGGCCAUUAAAUCAACUGAGGAAGGUGGCAGAAGGAAAAGGCUUUUCGUUUUUCCAGGAUCCACUCAGAAGGCGCUGACACUCGUGGAUGACGAUUUCUUCCCUGUGUUACAGUCGCCGUGGCAUUAUUCACCAUCAGCCAUGGGGGAACCCCUCCUCAGCUGAACCUGCUGCUGCUGCCAGCGCUCUGCACCAACUGUGGUUUGCUCCCUGGAUUCUGGUGGUGAAAUCUCAGUGGGAACAAAGCCUCGUUGAGUUUUUAUUGAGUUAUCAUAGGUUCUCAAUGGCAGGAGUGUGGGAUGGUGGUGUCAGGCUAAUAUGCCUUUGUGAUGAAAUCGUGCCACCCCGGUUUAUUGCACAUUUUGUUGAAUAGCAUUGAUUUGAGUUGUUCAGUUGAAUUGCUUUGAUGGAUGAAAUGUGGCUUUCUACAUACUGAGCUUUCUGUUGCUACAGCUUGAAUAUUAGUUUGGAUGUCUCCCAAAGACCCAUGUGUUAAAGGCUUUGUCCCCAGAGUGGGGUGCUAUUGGGAGGGGACGGAGUCUUUAGGAGGUGGGGCCUGGUGGGAGGUCCCUAGGUCAUUGGAGGAUGCCCCCUGAAGGUACUACUUGUGAGAGGCAGGGUUAUAAAAGUGGAGCCAGUCCCAGCCGGUCUCCCUUCUUCCUGGCUUGCCACAGGCUCUUUUCUCAGCACAUGCUCUGUGUCACUGCCACCUGCUACCUUCAUCAGAGACCGAAACAAUGGGCUGCCCCAUCUUGGACUUAAACUUCUGAGACUGUGAGCUAACUGAACCUUGUCUCUUCAUGAAGUUAGUUUCCUUGAGUAUUUCAUUAUAGUCAUGAAAAGCUAAUACAGCCCCUAAAACCAGCUGAGGGUACUUGCUUUGCAUGGACAGCACUCCCUGUGUGACUGGAACAUCACAGAUGCACCUGUCCCCUGCAGGGCAGGCAGUGGUCCUGUCCUUGAAGCCAAGGCACAGAGCCAGUGAGAGUGCCUGGGCCACCACAGCCAUUGAGUGUGAGGUGGACCUAGGGACAUUGCUAUGAUCUGAAAGGGAAUUGAAUAAGAUGGCUCAAAACUUUAUCCUUCUUAGAAUUUAUACCCAGGAGAAUCUAAAGCAGACAUGGUACAGCUAUGAGAAGGCAUGGAGUUACAAGCACUGGCAAGAUUUCAAUACAGCAUACAGGUGGCUUCCUGAAUGGACAGUACUCAGGUUGUAAUUCUCCUAUGGCACUUCUUACUAAUUUUGCUUUAUAUUCUCUUUUGCUAGUGACAUACAAUAAGGCAACGAAACACGCACUGGAGAAUUGGAGACUCAGCUUGUGUGCAGUCCCUCCACCCUCUGCCUCGCUGCCUCCCUGGGCUCUCAGCCUCUGCUCACCUGGCCCCUGCUGUCCCAACCCCCCAUGGCCUCCCCUUCCUUAUCCUUCCUACAGCUGCCCUCCCUGUCCAGCAGGUGCCUGCACCUGGACAUGUGGCGAGUUAGGAGAGGACACAUGUGCCCUUCUGCAUCCUGGGGCAGGGCAUGGCAGCCCCAUCCCCACCCUGGGCUCCCAGCAUCAUGGCCCAUUUGGAAGUGACUUGGCAGGAGUGAGCCUUUUAUCCAACCCCUAUCCUAUACCGAGGUGUCCCAACAUGGAAGUCUCCAUACCACUGGGGAGUCAUCCAUGCAUCGUGGGUUGGUGUGGCUGGCUCAGGGGAAGUGCACAUGUAUGACUGAACUUAACUGUCUCAGGCUGUGACAUGGUGCAUUGUAACUGACAAGGAGGAGGGUCACAUGUACCAAUUCUCCUAGGGGCCUGUGGAUGUUCUGGGUGAGACUGAGAAGAAUGUGUAUUCUGCUGGUGUUGGACAAAGUGUUCUAUAGAAAUCAAUUAGAUCCAGCUGAUUGAUAAUGUUAUUAGUUCAACUAUAUCCUUACUGAUUUUCUGCCUGCUCUGUCAUUUACUGAGAGGUAAAUAAUAGAUUCCUCUAUGCUCAUAUUCUCUCUGUGGUCCUGUCAGUUUUUGCUUUAUGCAUUUGGGCACUCUGUUGUUUGGUACAUAUGUGUUAGGUACUGUUAAUGUGCCCUUGGAGAAUUGACCUUUUAAUCUUUUUUUAUAACACCUCCUCUAUCCUUUAUAAUCUUCCCCUCUCUAAAAUCUACUGCUCUCAUAUCAAAAUAGCUUUCUUCAAUUAAGGCUAGUAUGGUAUAUAUUUCUCUAUCUCUUUACUUUUCAUAUAUGUCUUUAAGUUGGGCUUCUCAUAGAAAACAUAUAAUUGCGGCCGGCGCUGCGGCUCACUAGGCUAAUCCUCCGCCUAGCGGCGCCAGCACACCAGGUUCUAGUCCCGGUCGGGGCGCCAGAUUCUGUCCCGGUUGCCCCUCUUCUAGGCCAGCUCUCUGCUGUGGCCAGGGAGUGCAGUGGAGGAUGGCCCAGGUGCUUGGGCCCUGCACCCCAUGGGAGACCAGGAAAAGCACCUGGCUCCUGGCUCCUGCCAUUGGAUCAGCGCGGUGCGCCGGCCGCAGCGCGCCGGCCGUGGCGGCCAUUGGAGGGUGAACCAACGGCAAAGGAAGACCUUUCUCUCUGUCUCUCUCUCUCACUGUCCACUC